GAUGAACGCUAGCUACAGGCUUAACACAUGCAAGUCGAGGGGAAACGAUGAGAGAGCUUGCUCUCUUAGGCGUCGACCGGCGCACGGGUGAGUAACGCGUAUCCAACCUACCCAUUACAGGGGGAUAACCUUGCGAAAGUAAGACUAAUACCCCAUGGCAUUUUAUGGUGGCAUCAUUAUAGGAUUAAAGAUUUAUUGGUAAUGGAUGGGGAUGCGUCUGAUUAGCUUGUUGGCGGGGUAACGGCCCACCAAGGCAACGAUCAGUAGGGGUUCUGAGAGGAAGGUCCCCCACAUUGGAACUGAGACACGGUCCAAACUCCUACGGGAGGCAGCAGUGAGGAAUAGUGGUCAAUGGGCGAGAGCUUGAACCAGCCAAGUAGCGUGCAGGAUGACGGCCCUAUGGGUUGUAAACUGCUUUUAUAGGGGAAUAAAGUGAGCUACGUGUAGUUUAUUGCAUGUACCCUAUGAAUAAGGACCGGCUAAUUCCGUG
rnacentral:rRNA from 1 species